UGAAUUUUGUCUGCUGAAAAUCUGGCUGUGGUCAGUCGAGCCAAAUACAGCCGAGAGCGGACGCAUUCGUCCCGGCCGGGUUCUGGCGCCGUGGGGGCCAAGAGGCUGCUGCCGAUUAAGGAGGCCUCCCAGCUUGCGCAGCAGCCGCAUCAGAACCGGGCGAAGCUGGUGGUGGCGUUGAGCCGCACCUACGGCUCGGCGGUCCCCGCCACCCCUCGCCGCCCCGCUGGUACACCCAUUUUGUACUCAGAGAAUUCCAUUUCUUCAGUAAGGCCUAAUGAUAUAUCAGAUGGGAAAACUAAGGCCUAGAGAAUUAAAUAUUUGCCAAAGACCAACCAGCUAACUUAAUAGAAGUAGGGCUUUUCGCGAUAGUGAAGAGGCCCGCGCACCGUGAUGAAGAGUGGCCCCCGCUUGCCGCAACUAGAGAAAGCCCUUGCACAGAAACGAAGACCCAACACAGCCAAAAAUAAAUAUAUAUAAAAAAAAAAACAAGAUUACUAUUUUUAAAAAAAAGAAAUUAUGGUUCAGUGCCAUAGCUGUAAAUCAUUUCUGCUCCUGGAGAGGUUAGAAAGGGCUUAUAAUAUUUACCCUUUUUUUUUUUUUCAGACAGAAUUUAGGUCUGAGCAAAAGCUUUUGUGUCCUCCAACCUCAAAGUUUAUUGGGGAUGGAAGUCCAAAUUUUCUUUGACAUACCAUAAAAAGAAUCUCAUGAGCAGAGCAUCAAACUAAUUUUGGAAUAUAUGAAUUAUGCCCAGUGUUAUUUUCAAUAGAUUUUAAACAAAAAUAUAGAAAUACAUUUUUACUGAUCUAUAUGAUUUUGGGUUCUGAAACUUCUACACGUUACAUGCCUGA